rnacentral:rRNA from 1 species
ACCCCGAGGAAAAGAAAUCAACCGAGAUUCCCCCAGUAGCGGCGAGCGAACGGGGAGGAGCCCAGAGCCUGAAUCAGUGUGUGUGUUAGUGGAAGCGUCUGGAAAGGCGCGCGAUACAGGGUGACAGCCCCGUACACAAAAAUGCACAUGCUGUGAGCUCGAUGAGUAGGGCGGGACACGUGGUAUCCUGUCUGAAUAUGGGGGGACCAUCCUCCAAGGCUAAAUACUCCUGACUGACCGAUAGUGAACCAGUACCGUGAGGGAAAGGCGAAAAGAACCCCGGCGAGGGGAGUGAAAAAGAACCUGAAACCGUGUACGUACAAGCAGUGGGAGCCUCUUUAUGGGGUGACUGCGUACCUUUUGUAUAAUGGGUCAGCGACUUAUAUUCUGUAGCAAGGUUAACCGAAUAGGGGAGCCGAAGGGAAACCGAGUCUUAACUGGGCGUUAAGUUGCAGGGUAUAGACCCGAAACCCGGUGAUCUAGCCAUGGGCAGGUUGAAGGUUGGGUAACACUAACUGGAGGACCGAACCGACUAAUGUUGAAAAAUUAGCGGAUGACUUGUGGCUGGGGGUGAAAGGCCAAUCAAACCGGGAGAUAGCUGGUUCUCCCCGAAAGCUAUUUAGGUAGCGCCUCGUGAAUUCAUCUCCGGGGGUAGAGCACUGUUUCGGCAAGGGGGUCAUCCCGACUUACCAACCCGAUGCAAACUGCGAAUACCGGAGAAUGUUAUCACGGGAGACACACGGCGGGUGCUAACGUCCGUCGUGAAGAGGGAAACAACCCAGACCGCCAGCUAAGGUCCCAAAGUCAUGGUUAAGUGGGAAACGAUGUGGGAAGGCCCAGACAGCCAGGAUGUUGGCUUAGAAGCAGCCAUCAUUUAAAGAAAGCGUAAUAGCUCACUGGUCGAGUCGGCCUGCGCGGAAGAUGUAACGGGGCUAAACCAUG